UACGGGGGGGGCAAGCGUUGUUCGGAAUUACUGGGCGUAAAGGGCUCGUAGGUGGCCAACUAAGUCAGACGUGAAAUCCCUCGGCUUAACCGGGGAACUGCGUCUGAUACUGGAUGGCUUGAGUUUGGGAGAGGGACGCGGAAUUCCAGGUGUAGCGGUGAAAUGCGUAGAUAUCUGGAGGAACACCGGUGGCGAAGGCGGCAUCCUGGACCGGCAUUGACGCUGAGGCGCGAAAGCCAGGGGAGCAAACGGG
rnacentral:rRNA from 1 species